AGACAUCGCUGCGGCCGGGAUAGGGCGCCGCCGUUCUGGCCGGCUUUCUCGGUGCCCUGGAGGACCUGGCCGGCUCCGCGGGAAGCUGUACUCAGAGCGCGCGGCCGCCCUCUGGCAGGGAGGAGUUCGUUGCACUUUUGAGGGUUCUUCACGAAGACAUCCAAUACAUAGAAAACAAGUAACAGCAACAGUAACGAAUUUUUAAAUAUUAAAAUUGCUGGGGAACACGACGGAUCCUGCAGCUGCUCGGCUGUCCCGGUCGUCAGUGACGCUAGGGCUCCGCACCGUACCCUGCAUACCGUAGGUGCUCACGAAACGUUCGUGAGUUCCCUGCUCUGAGGAAACAAGCUUAAAAACUCAGAAUCUAAGGUGUGAGUCUCCGCAAACCUGCUUGUUGGGCAGCGUCCCCCGCCCGGGCUAGCCCUGCACGCCCCACCCCGGAGCCACGCUUCUCCAGCCGGGACCCCUGCCUCCUUCCAGGCUAUUCUCGGAACCGCAGCCAGAGGGAAUUUUUUUUUCCUUUCCUGAAACGUAGAGCAGAUCUGGUUACUCUUCUGCACAACGCCCUAAAAUCUAGGGCCCUUCCCAUCCCUCAGAAUUUACAUCUAAUUCUCAGCUCCCCUCCGGCUUGCUGUAGCCAUCCUGGCUUUUGUUUAGCACAGCACUUACUGUUAGUGACAUUAUAUUGUAUAUUAUUAACAUAUUUGUGUUUUACAUCCCUCACUAGACCCCCAGGAAAGAGGCUUUGAUGUGUUGCCUGCUGCAAGGCUGGCUGCAUAAUUUGUGGAGCUCAGAGAAAAGUGCGGAGCUUCCUUGUUCAAAAAACAGAAAGAAAGUGCCUCUGAGGUCAUAAAAUAUAAAACUUUCUCUUUCCUCUCAGUUUCUCUCUUUUCAUAGUGUUUUUAUGUGUUAUUUAAUAUCAUUCCAAGAAAAAUUUAGAUUUAAAUUGUUAGCAUGAAGUUCACCAUCCAUCUUUACGUUGUGCAAUGCCAGUUUUAAAUACUAAUAUAAGUGCACUGAUCUCAUAUGUGGAAUCACAGAAAUUAUGCAAUUUGUACUUCAUAGCUUAUACAUGCAUAUAGAUUUUGUUUUUACCAGAACCACGCUGGUAAAAACAGAUGCUGCACAAAGUGAACUUGCCCGUUUUCAUCGCACUUUACGUGCACGAAUUCUACCUCUACUCUCGACCUGGGACUCACCGAUGCGUAAGGAAGGACUGAAAAGCAAAAGAACUAUGGACUGGCCUUUUGGCAUGAUCAGGUGUCUAAUAUAAAGAAGUGCAUGAAUAAGAAAAUAUAUGAUAUGAGUGAUGGUUAAUACUGACUGUCAACUUGAUUGGAUUGAAGGAUGCAAAGUAUUGAUCCUGGGUGUGUCUGUGAGGGUGUUGCCAAAGGAGAUUAACAUUUGAGUCAGUGGGCUGGGAAAGUUCGACCCACUGUUAAUCUAGAUGGACACCAUCUAAUCAGAUGCCAGUGCAGCUAGAAAUGUAAAGCAGACAGAAAAAUGCGAAAAGAGAGACUGGCCUAGCCUGCCAGCCUACAUCUUUCUCCCACGCUGGAUGCUUCCUGCCCUCGAACAUCAGACUCCAAGUUCUUCAGUUUGGGACUUGGACUGGCUCUCCUUGUUCCUCAGCUUGAAGACUGCCCAUUGUGGGACUUGUGAUCAUGUGGAUUUAGAGUUUCCUACGGCUGUUGCUUCACAUGUCAUCUGGAGAAGGCCCCCUGUGCAGUCUUUGCAACUUUCCACAGAUAAAGGUGAAAAUAAUGCAAGAGGAAAACAGAUGACGGCCUUUCCCUAAGGCAGAAACUGGGAAGAAGGGAAGCCUGAGAGGAGCAAAAGGACCUGAUGCCAUGAGUGGCCUCAGUGUGAAAUGCGGAGGGCCUCAGUUUGUGUCCCAGCACAGAGACUCUCUACACAAGGUUUUGUUCUUGUUUGUGUUUUUAACUUUUCUCCCAUCCCCUGACGGAGACACCUGUGCCUGAGCUCCAGGGGAACUCGGCAGCGCCCAUGCUCCAUUCCUUGGAUGCUUCUGUGAGUUGAGCAGAAAGACUUUCUUCUCAUUUCUAUCAAUCACCUUUCUUUGCUCUCAGCCCACUCACUUCCCCAUCUUCUACACCUCACGGAAGCAGGAAGGAGGGGCUGCCGAGGACCCCAGGAAUGCGGCCCCAGGAGUCACCAUGCAGAUGAAGAAGGGAGGCGCCCUCAUAUUCGGGCAGCCUGGGAACUGGGAUGUGUUCCAUGCAGUGACAGCUCCCAGCGCUCUGAAGCCAUGACAGCGGAGGAGGCAAGGCAAGACCCCUCCUGCAGAACAGCCACCUGCAGGGGAGAUCUGGCGAGGAGUAAGAAUCGGGUAGAUUUACGCCAGGUCCCCUAAGAGCGGUGCAAAGAAAUGGAUCAAAUAGGCAAGCAUUUCAUCAGGGAAAAUGCCUAAGAGAAAUGCGGGGGGAAGCUGGGUGCAACUGGAAUAGCCUUCAGACUGUGGUGUGAGUCUGACCCCAGUGAAGGAAAGAGGAGGGAUGGCUGCGAGGAGGUGGCCCCAGGAAAGUUCUGCAAAGCCACCGGGCAUCCUCAACCCUGAACCAGAGGACUCAGCCCAACCUCUCCCCAGAGUGGACCUGCACUGCCUUGCUCAGACACUGGCUGGGAGCAGCCUGUGAGAAAUGUGGCUGCAUGCAAAUAUUUAACCGUCAACAAGCCACAGCUGAGGAAACAUGGCCACACAACCGUAUUAGUCCAUUCUCGCACUGUUACAAAAAAUACCUGAGACUGGGUAAUGUAUGAAGGAAAGAGGUUGAAUUGGCUCACAGUUCCACAGGCUGUACAGGAAGCGUGGCAACAUCUACUUCUGGGGUGACCUGUGGGAGUUUUUACUCAUGGUGGGGGCAAUGAGGGAGCAGGCAUUUCACCUGGCAGGAGCAGGAGGAAGAGAGAGGGGGGAGGUACCACACUUUUUUUUUUUUUUGAAAAGAAGACUUGCUCUUUCGCCCAGGCUGGAGUGCAGUGGCAUGAUCUCACCUCACUGCAACCAUUGCCUUCUGGAUUCAAGCGAUUCUCCUGCCUCAGCCUUCCGAGUAGCUGGGAUUACAGGCACGUGCCACUAAGCCCGGCUAAUUCUUUUAUUUUUAAUAGAGAUGGGGUUUCAUCAUGUUGGCUAGGCUGGUUUCAAACUCCUGACCACAAGUGAUCCACCCACCUCGGCCUCCCAAAGUGUUGGGAUUACAGGUGUGAGCCACUGCUCCCAGCCUGCACACUUUUAUACAACCAGAUCUUGUGAAAACUCUUGUCACUAUACAGUACCAAGGGGAGAUGGUGGUAAACCAUUCAUGAGAACUCUGCCUCCAUGAUCCAGUCAUCUCCCCCAGGUCCUCCCUGACACUGGGGAUUACAAUUCAACAUGAGAUUUGGGAAGGGACACGAGGCAAAUCAUAUCAACAACCAUUUGGAAAGUCAUAUGCAAUGGGAGAGAGAAAUCAUGGGAAAUAAUAUAAAAUGAAUUCUUUUCAGCAACGAAAUCUGCUGACAUCAAGAUAAAUACAUAUAUACAUGCAUAUAUACACACACGCAUAUAUUUAAUAUGAAGUCUGCUUCAAACUCAAACAAUAGAGAGAUGGAUUUAUGCAUAUCUGAAAAUGAGCACUAUACCUCUAUUAAAUAGGUAAUAUUGAAAAAUACCCGAUGGCAUAGAAUAAUGUUCUGAAAUGAAAAUAACGGGUGAAAAGCAGUAAAUACAAAGUAAAAUGUCAUGUUUCAUAAAACUUCUUACCAGUGGUUCUCUCUGUGUGAUGGGAUUACAGAUGAUUUUUGUUUUUUACUAUUUUCUUACAAAAAGAUCACAUGUCGUUUUGUACCUUCAAGAGAUUUUAAGAGCACCAUCGCAUGCGUCUGGCUCUCCUAGUAUGUCAAGGUGCCUGCCUCUCAUCUGUGGGGUUGCAGGUCGGCACCGCUGGGGGAGUGGAGAGUCUGUGCUCCUUCUGUACGCUGCUGCCUCUGCUGCAAUGAAGUUUAUGAGGGAGCCUCCAGCCACUGGGGACUGGGGUCUUAUUGUCCCUCUGCUCGUCCUCUAGUCAGAACUGAGUGCCCCCGGAAUUGACAUCUCCCAGGGAUGGGGUUGAGAGUGCCGGGAGGCAGGAUAUGCCAGCCUGAGUUCACAGCCCUUGCUGGCCCCUCUGGGUAGGGGCUGAGCUGGGCUUCAUGUUAUCCACCUCGGGGGUCAACCAGUGCUGCCCCCAGCAUGGUUUGCAGCAAUCCCCUUCUGCUUGUCAAAUCUCCAAUAGCCCCCUCCCUCUGCAGGCUGCCCAGCGCCAGAAAACACGCUGGGCAGGUUCUCCCAGGUUGUACUCCAGGCUGAGCACAGAUGCAUGUGGCGUCCCCACUGCCAGCACUGUUAAUUAAGCCAUGUCCAAGGACCCACAACACCACACAACACCUAGGUAUUAAGCAGACCCAUUGGAAUGUAACUCCAGUGAAUGCAUUCCCGUCCUGUUACAUGACUCCGUGAGGUUCUAUACGCAAAGACCCUAAUCUGUUAACUACUCUUUGGGGCUAUAACGUAAUCUCCCUGCCAGUGAUCUGGAUUUUUAAAAAAAUGGAUUAUUCAUCUCUAAGGUUUUUGGCCCCUGUCUUUUCUGACCAUAGGGGGAAAAUGUCUGGCAGAAGCAAGCCUUGGCUGGCCAUGUGCACCUCAUUCCAUGCCAUUCCAACAGUUGCUGUGCUCCCAGGCUUAUAUAAGAAGAACCAGUUUUCCCACUUCAUGAUUUUGCAGCUUAAUGGGAUGGAUAUGGUAUGGCUUACUUAGAGGCCUGGUCUCAUUUUGACAGUCUUUUGUGCACUUUACAUAUUCCAGGCACUUUCAUUAUUACUGGAAAAGUGAAAGUGGACAUUGGCAAUGGGUUGGCCUCCACAAAAAGCCAUGAGAAUCAAACUGUAUAAACCAAGCUAGGAACGCCCAGCCAAGUUUAUUCUAAAGCAUUACCUCAUAUUGCUGGACAGCUGUCUUUUGGCUAAAACUGGGGAAAAUGUCAAUUCAAUUCCUAUUUUAGGGGUCAGAGUUAUAGAACAUUAAUGAAAGCACUGAGCUGUACUUACUGUAUCCAUCAACAGGAAGAGAAUAACUUAGCUUCUAGACAGGCACAAUCGCAGACGUACACAGAGGCUGGAAGACGGUGCACACCAUUGAGAUACGUGUCUCAUCCAGCCCGCCACAUGCAGCCGGAACCAGGCCACCGCCUGGGUGUCCCUUGUGUCCUGUCCUCCUACCUCUUCUCUCUGGUCCCCACAUUCCUUCCAGAGUUUCUCAUACAUGGAUUGCUCCCAGGCUCCCUUCCAUUGGGGGCCAGAGGUUCUCACAGAGCACAGAGAAGGGGACCAUUCGCCCCUGGGACCAUCAGGGGAAUGAUCUAGAAGUCAAGCAAAUGUUCUAGCCCUUCAGGGUCUUCAAGGUGAGUCGCUUGGGGUGAACGAAACAUUUCUCAUGCGCACAAUGGCUCUCUCAUAAUGAUGAGGCUGCAUCCUGCCUGCUAAGUCUCCCUUUCUUUACUCUUUGUUACUGAAGAUCUUCCUACCGGGAAUGAGAGAGUGAAGGGAACAAAAGUUUAGCUGAGAAAACACGUCCCUUCAUCCACCUCAUAUCCCCACUGUGAUUGCACGCACCACCCCCAUCUCUAGCCUCACUUUUUUCUCAGCCGACUUGUACCCGACUGUUCUAGGGAGAUUACGGGGGAAGAAGGCUGAGGUAGAGAGCAGGGCCUCUAUACAUUUAAGCUCAUAGAGAUACAGAGCAUAUGAAGAUAUGGGAAUUCAGAAGAGUUCCGUCCAACAGAAAUGUAAUGUAAGUCACAUAGUAACUUUGAGUUUUCCAUUAGCUGUAUUCAAAACAGAAAAUAUAAAACAGGCAAAAUGUAUUUAAAUACUAUAACUUAUUUAACCCAAUAUAUCCAAAAUGUUAUCAUUUUGUCAUGUUACCAAUUACAUGAUGAGCUUAUUAAUGAUCUUUUAUAGUUUUCGUACCAAAUCUUUAGUGUGUAUUUUCUACUUAUUUUACAUCUCAAGGCAGAUGCUAAAUUUUCAUCAGAACUACUUGAUCUGUAUUUAAAUUUCAUAAGCUUUGCAGUUAAAAACUCAGAUUCACACACCUAAGUGUCUCCAAAGAUACUUCAAAGUUUUCCAAUAACUGAAUCAAGUCCCAGUUUUAAUUUACAAUUAAAGUAAAAUAAAAAUUAAAAAUUUAGUUUCUCAGUUGCACUAGUCACACUUUAAAUACUCAGUAGUCACGGGUGGUUAGUGGCUGCCACAUUGAGCAUGUGGAUUCAGAAUCUACAUGUAUUUUGUUUCCAAAGAUUGUAAAGUAACAGCAGCAGCAGCAGCAGCAGCAGCAGCAGCACUUGAAUAUGAUACCAACAAACAGGAAGUGUCAGGAAGACGCCUUGCAGAACUGUCAGCCUGUGGAGUUGUUUCCCCAAGAGAGUUUGGAGUUAGAAAGAGGUAUCCAAAUCUGGGAGGUUCAAUUCCUAAAGUUCUUUGUCCCAGAACUGCUACCUUAAAUUGCAUAGGUCCUACGACAAGCUCAGCUUUCCCACUCACUGCUCCAUCAGCUCCUAACUCACUUUACUGAAGACCUGUCUCACUUUAGAUUGCAUGACCUCUGAGGGCAGCAACCAUUUUUGACCUCUGAUGCUGUGGGUAACUUGCCCAUAUUGCUUUCGGGUCAUUAAACUUCUUGCACAAUUUGAAUUUUUAUAUGAAAAUUGGGGUAGACAAGAAAGCUUUCUGGCAGAGCAGAUAACUCUCUUGGAGUUAACCAUGCCUGCUCUUGUUCAUUCAACAUGUAUGCGUUUGUAACGGAAAACCAAGAGGUACUAGAAGUACCUCUUUCAUGCAGAAAUAGUUCACUCCUGAAUACUGAUACAACAGUUUUUCCACCGGUCCUGCCUCAGUUGCUGUCAAAAUGAAUCAGUCCUCAAUAACUGUUAUAAGUGUGUUCAAGGCCCUCUUUGCUUUAAGGUGUUGGUUAUUGAUGGUAGAGAGAGGGUUGAGAACUGAGGUGCUACAACUGCUCCCUAGUGAGAGGUAUACUAUCUGCUCAGGUUGGGCAGACAGUGUGAGUCAUUUCCAAGUUACCUUUUCUGCCUCCAGUGUGUGUAUGUGUGUGUGUGUUUAAGGAGGGUAUGAUAUGCCCUAAGAAAGCCCCACAUGCCAGCAGUUCCAUUGAUAAUCCAAUACCCCCAGGUUAGCAACUAUCUCCCCACAAUGUCCUUCCCCGAGAGCAGAUGACAGCACUCGUCACUCAUCCAAACUCCUGAGAAUCUCCUGGGAUCCAGAGGGUGGAUGGUUUUUUCUCCAAUUCCUUCCUGUUUUAUGUGCCAAUUCCCACCACAGCACAGCAAGGUGAUGAGAGACCCCAAUAAAAGCUUGUGCUUUCUCAUCCUUCAAAAAUCAUGCCUUAUAUUUUUAAUUUUGAGGCCAAGCAUAAUUUUGACUCUAAUUGGUUUCAGGCUUCAAUCAGUGACAUGACUCAUUAUCAGGAUCCUUGAGUGCAAACCCACAAUCCCAUCCCCUAGCCCCAGGCUUCCUUUUCCAGCAUCCGUGGGAAUCCUUUUGUCCUUGAUCUUUCCUGUAAGGUAUUUUGAAGACUUUGAUCUGUUAACUCCUCAGCCAUCUCUCUCCCCUAAUUUUCAUUUUUUUCCUGCAAUGAACCUUUAGUCUUUUGCAAAAUUCCCUUUCCUUCAUGGGUGUAACCCUCUGGGCCGGGGAGAAUCCUGGGGCCCCUUCAGCAUUUAUUGUCAUAGGUGCCAGCUAUCUCCGUUUGCACUCAGAUUUUUAAAUAAACACACAGGGUGCUCAGGUCGAUUUGAAUUUCAGAUAAACAAUGAAUAAAUAUUUGUAUAACUGAGUACCAAAUAUCGCAUGAAGCAUAGUUAUGCUAAAAUUUUUUCAUUGUUUAUCGGAUAUUCAAAUGUAACUGGGCAUUUGUGUUUGAUCUGGCAACCUCCCUCUUCGAAUUGAUCCCUGCCCUUCCCUACUCUGAUCACCAUCACAUGAGAUGCCCCCUCUCAGCUCCCUUGCCCUUCAGAUCCUGGAAUGAAUUUGGUUGAGACUGGUGGGCCAGAGGCCAGGAAGAGCCAGGCUGCAUCUCCUCUCUGUUCUUCUUGUGGAGUCCCCAGCCACAGCUGAGUAUCUCCAUGGCUCUGACUCUGUCUGAAUUUUCCUGCCUCUGUUGCAGUUUCCACUGGGUGGUCUGGAUCCCCGGGUGCUGCCAGGAUGCUCCUCCCUGUACAUGCCCAGCACUGAGAUGGUGGCAGCAGCUGCCCACUUUGCUAGUCUUCGCAUUGUCUGCUAUCCCCUGUUUAGAGAUUCCACUUGCCCAGUACCUUUUUAAGCAAUUUCCUGUAUUAGAUUUCAUCUAUUUGAAAUACAUAGUUUGGCUGCUAUUUCCCUGAAUAGCCCUUGAUUGAAAAUGGCUUUGCUGUUUAUUUCUCCAGUUCUCAGAGCCCCCUCAUCCUUCUUCCUUCAGCCUGUCAAACACUGUCUUUGCCUAUUUCCUCUCUUGUUUUCUCCUCAACUGCCUUUGCCUGUAAAGACGGAUCUGUCGUAGGCCAUGCACAAAUAAUGUGUUAUUAGUAUUAAAGUGCCAAAAGUUCCUUCUUUGUAAAUAUCUAAGAUGCAAGCCUGUGAAACAAUGACACCAUCCCUCACCUGCAGUCCAAUAUUGUCAUCAGAAAAGUUUAGUCACGGUUCUUGAGGAGAAAAGGAAGAGUUGGGAUGGGAGCGAAUCCAUCUGGCUCUGUUUUCACCGUGCAGUGUGCAUCCGAUCAGCUUGUGUGAAACAAGAAAGGCUGCACUGUCCUGCUGCAGCGCAAUGAGCUGGGCUAACGUUCAGUCUUGGACUCCUGUUCCUUCCCAGAGAGGGGCAUCCACAUAUCUGCUCCUCAUCAAUCCAUGACUAUAAAAUGAAACCACAUUUUCAGUUAAUAAUGAGAUGUUAAUGUCCUGAGAGAUCCCUAAUAAUUUAAUUGUCAAAAAAAGCCCUUCUCAAAUUAUUUCCAAGUAACAUUGACAAGUAUCGGAGACAGCUGCCCUGUGUGUUCAGGAGUGGGCUCUGUGAUCAUCUGUCGAGUCUCCUGGUCAUGCCAUUCUGCUGCCUCUGCCUCAGUGACUUUCCCGAGGACAUGGCUCUACAGGGCCCAGCUGGGAUCUGCCGUGGGUGCACAGUGUCCUCCAUGGCCUGCUUUGACUGUGGAAUGCACUUGCCCUUAAUUCUCCAAAGUAUAGCAAUGAUCAGCCUGUAGUUUUAAAAUUGUAUGGAAAUUUGUGAGUUAAUGGAAGGGGAAAAUAUUACAAGAAAUGCAUAUGUUACCUUCAGAGCCCGCCUGCUGAAGGCUUCCUCUCCCUGUUCCGCAUGGCAGGAGCCUGUGGACUCCAUUGGUGAAUUUUCAAAACAUCUGUUUACCUCUGAGUCCAAACCAGACUGGCAAAAGCUCCUACAAAAAAGUUAUGCAAUUCCUUACUUUUUCUCCCUAGAUUGUCCUCUUCCUGUCACAUGUGACACUGGGACUACUCACUCUCAUCAAGAGAAACAUGACACUUCUCACAGGGGUGUAGACUAGCCCCCCACGAUAAUCAUGCAAUAGCCCUAACAUCAAUUCAUGCACUGGGAUGUUCGUGAAUUAAUAUUAAAUAAUAUUACAGAAUGGACAGCAAGGGAAUUCAAUUCCUUCUUAUAUCACCCUGAGAGUGGAGCCUACAAAUCCUCCUGAGUCUUUGAGGUUCUCUAUUCCUGUUAUCCUUGAACAAGAAAAUGUGCACAUGUACACACACACACACACACACACACACACACCACUAAUUUCCCUGAAAACACAAGAAUGAGCAAUAAUAGAUAUGCACAGGUCAGUCUAAAUGAGUAUUUAUCAAAACAGAUUUUUCUAUUUUGCAGAUGAGAAUUUAGAACUCUGCCU
rnacentral:lncRNA from 1 species